UACGUAGGGGGCAAGCGUUGUCCGGAUUUAUUGGGCGUAAAGAGCGUGUAGGCGGCUAGAUAGGUCCGUUGUGAAAACUCGAGGCUCAACCUCGAGACGUCGAUGGAAACCAUCUGGCUAGAGUCCGGAAGAGGAGAGUGGAAUUCCUGGUGUAGCGGUGAAAUGCGCAGAUAUCAGGAAGAACACCCGUGGCGAAGGUGGCUCUCUGGUACGUGACUGACGCUGAGACGCGAAAGCGUGGGGAGCAAACAGG
rnacentral:rRNA from 1 species